UACCGUAUUUCAUGGUUAGAGGCAGC
rnacentral:piRNA from 1 species